CCCUUAGAUGUUCUGGGCCGCACGCGCGCUACACUGAUGCAUUCAACGAGUCUAAAACCUGGUCUGAUAGGGCUGGGUAAUCUUUUGAAUGUGCAUCGUGAUUGGGAUAGAUGAUUGCAAUUCUUCAUCUUCAACGAGGAGUGCCUAGUAAACGCAAGUCAUCGGCUUGCAUUGAUUACGUCCCUGCCCUUUGUACACACCGCCCGUCGCUGCCCGGAACUGAGCCGUUUCGAGAAGACUGAGGAUUGCUGACUUGAGGCCUUCACGGGCUUCUAGUCGGUGAAAAUCAAUUUAAUCGCAGCGGCUUGAACCGGGCAAAAGUCGUAACA
rnacentral:rRNA from 1 species